GAUGAACGCUAGCGGCAGGCUUAAUACAUACAAGUCGAGGGGCAGCAUGACUGUAGCAAUACAGUUGAUGGCGACCGGCAAACGGGUGCGGAACACGUACAGAACCUUCCUUCAAGCGGGGAAUAGCCCAGAGAAAUUUGGAUUAAUACCCCAUAGCAUUACGAAGUGGCAUCACUUGGUACUUAAAGAUUUAUCACUUGAAGAUGGCUGUGCGGCUGAUUAGGUAGUUGGCGGGGUAACGGCCCACCAAGCCUGCGAUCAGUAACUCGUGUGAGAGCACGACCAGUCACACGGGCCAUGAGACACGCGCCCGACUCCUACGGGAGGCAGCAGUAAGGAAUAUUGGUCAAUGGACGAAAGUCUGAACCAGCCAUACCGCGUGGAGGAUGAAGGUCCUCUGGAUUGUAAACUUCUUUUAUAUGGGACGAAAAAGGGUCUUUCUAGAUCAACUGACGGUACCAUGUGAAUAAGCACCGGCUAACUCCGUGCCAGCCGCCGCGGUAAAAC
rnacentral:rRNA from 1 species